UGCUUUACCAUGCAGUCGAACGGUAACAGGUCUUCGGAUGCUGACGAGUGGCGAACGGGUGAGUAACACAUCGGAACGUGCCUAGUAGUGGGGGAUAACUACUCGAAAGAGUAGCUAAUACCGCAUGAGAUCUAAGGAUGAAAGCAGGGGACCUUCGGGCCUUGCGCUACUAGAGCGGCUGAUGGCAGAUUAGGUAGUUGGUGGGAUAAAAGCUUACCAAGCCGACGAUCUGUAGCUGGUCUGAGAGGACGACCAGCCACACUGGGACUGAGACACGGCCCAGACUCCUACGGGAGGCAGCAGUGGGGAAUUUUGGACAAUGGGCGAAAGCCUGAUCCAGCAAUGCCGCGUGUAGGAUGAAGGCCCUCGGGUUGUAAACUACUUUUGUACGGAACGAAAAGACUCUCUCUAAUAAAGAGGGUCCAUGACGGUACCGUAAGAAUAAGCACCGGCUAACUACGUGCCAGCAGCCGCGGUAAUACGUAGGGUGCAAGCGUUAAUCGGAAUUACUGGGCGUAAAGCGUGCGCAGGCGGUUAUGUAAGACAGAGGUGAAAUCCCCGGGCUCAACCUGGGAACGGCCUUUGUGACUGCAUAGCUAGAGUACGGUAGAGGGGGAUGGAAUUCCGCGUGUAGC
rnacentral:rRNA from 1 species